rnacentral:rRNA from 1 species
GACAGAGGGUGCAAACGUUGUUCGGAAUUACUGGGCGUAAAGCGCGUGUAGGCUGCCCUGCAAGUCAGGUGUGAAAGCCCUGGGCUCAACCUAGGAAGUGCAUUCGAAACUGCGAAGCUUGAGUCCUGGAGAGGAAGGCGGAAUUCUCGGUGUAGAGGUGAAAUUCGUAGAUAUCGAGAGGAACACCGGUGGCGAAGGCGGCCUUCUGGACAGUGACUGACGCUGAGACGCGAAAGCGUGGGGAGCAAACAGG